rnacentral:tRNA from 1 species
GCUCGGUUGAUCUAGUUGGUUAUGAUGUGGACCUAAUACGACCGCGAGUCGCGCAAGUCCAAUGUCGGCGGUUCGAUCCCGCCACUGAGCA